UUUUUUAUUGUGUUUGUUGUUUUACCAUGUUCCCUACCCAGGAACUGUGGUGAAGGGCAGUAUAAAAAUUUUACAAAUUAAAAUCAUCAUCAUCAUCAUCAUCAUCAUCCUCUCUUCCUAGUGGCAGUGCAACAUCAGGUUGGUGAAUGCCGCAACAGACCAUUUUCAAGGUUCUUGAAGAUUUAGUUCACCAUAACAAGAUGCAGUGAACUAAGAAAGCCUAGCUUGCUGUGUAUUCCUUGGCUAAAGUUCCUGCCUAUCAGUUUACAUUAAAGUUAUGUACCAGAAUACUUCAGUACAAGAGCUGCCUGAGUAUAUGCAGCCGCUGGAUGUGAGCUUGGAGCUUUCCUGAUGAGGUCCCCUUAUAGACCGCCACAUGCAACAUGUAACUAGAAGCAGAAGCUACAUUGACUUUCAGAGGAAGCACAGUCACAACUUGACUGACAGGAAUGUGGAGGAAAGUCAGCCAGAAACUGCAAAAUGUAUAUGCUCCGCACCUGAGGAGAAUCUCGGANGA
rnacentral:lncRNA from 1 species